ensembl:lncRNA
AGUUAAGAUGUUGCUUUGGGCCUUUUAGAAGCCUUAGUAACUUUCUUUAAAUAUUCUUUUAAGUUGUUUUUUUAAUGUAGAACAUAUUUUAAAAGACUUUUUAAAAUUUGAUACAAUAUUGCUUCAGUUUGAUGUUUUGUUUUUUUGACCCAGAGGCAUGUAUGGAAGGUGAAGGCUUAAUCACUGGGCUGCCAGCUUUCCAGAUUGCUGCUUUCUCCUCCAGCAGAGCUGGGCCUACGUUUCUGCAACCGUGUCUAAGGGACCUGCAGUUGGC